rnacentral:rRNA from 1 species
CCUACGGUCGGCAGCAGUGGGGAAUUUUGGACAAUGGGCGCAAGCCUGAUCCAGCUAUUCCGCGUGUGGGAAGACGGCCUUCGGGUUGUAAACCACUUUUGUAGAGAACGAAAAGUCUAUUGAUAAUACCGAUAGACGAUGACGGUACUCUAAGAAUAAGCACCGGCUAACUACGUGCCAGCAGCCGCGGUAAUACGUAGGGUGCUAGCGUUAAUCGGAAUUACGUGGCGUAAAGGGUGUGCAGGUGGGUUUGCAAUAUGUAUGUGCAAGCCCCGGGCUUAACCUGAGAAAGCCAUACAUGACUGCAAGACUAGAGUGCGUCAGAGGUAAGUGGAAUUCAGGGUGUAGCGGUGGAAUGCGUAGAUAUAUGGAAGAACACCAGUGGCGAAGGCGGCUAUCUGGUCUGCAACUGACGCUGAGGCUCGAAAGCAUGGGUAGCGAACAGGAUUAGAUACCCUAGUAGUC